CUCACAGUACGUAGGACAACUUACAAAUUUAAUGAGCUCUGUAUGAACAUUGUUUCAGGACCUACGCCUAGAUGGGAUCUCUACUUUUUUCUUUUUACUUGCACAGUUAUUUCCCAAAUUUAGAUUUUCACGGUCAAUUAUACUCUCUUAGUUUUCUGCUCUUAUUAUAUCAUGAUUUAGCUCUAGAAAGAUUAACUAUCAAAAAAUAACAGAG